UACGAAGGGGGCUAGCGUUGUUCGGAAUUACUGGGCGUAAAGCGCACGUAGGCGGACAUUUAAGUCAGGGGUGAAAUCCCGGGGCUCAACCCCGGAACUGCCUUUGAUACUGGGUGUCUAGAGUAUGGAAGAGGUGAGUGGAAUUCCGAGUGUAGAGGUGAAAUUCGUAGAUAUUUGGAGGAACACCAGUGGCGAAGGCGGCUCACUGGUCCAUUACUGACGCUGAGGUGCGAAAGCGUGGGGAGCAAACAGG
rnacentral:rRNA from 1 species